UACGUAGGGGGCAAGCGUUGUCCGGAAUCAUUGGGCGUAAAGAGCUCGUAGGCGGCUCAGUAAGUCGGGUGUGAAACCCCCAGCUCAACCUGGGGACGGCCACCCGCAUACUGCCGUCGACUAGAGUUCGGUAGGGGAGUGGGGAAUUCCUAGUGUAGCGGUGAAAUGCGCAGAUAUUAGGAGGAACACCGGUGGCGAAGGCGCCACUCUGGGCCGAAACUGACGCUGAGGAGCGAAAGCGUGGGUACGCAAACAGG
rnacentral:rRNA from 1 species